AUUGAACGCUGGCGGCAUGCCUUACACAUGCAAGUCGAACGGUAACAGGUUAAGCUGACGAGUGGCGAACGGGUGAGUAAUGUAUCGGAACGUGCCCAGUCGUGGGGGAUAACUACUCGAAAGAGUGGCUAAUACCGCAUACGUCCUGAGGGUGAAAGCGGGGGACCGUAAGGCCUCGUGCGAUUGGAGCGGCCGAUAUCAGAUUAGCUAGUUGGUGGGGUAAAAGCCCACCAAGGCGACGAUCUGUAGCUGGUCUGAGAGGACGACCAGCCACACUGGGACUGAGACACGGCCCAGACUCCUACGGGAGGCAGCAGUGGGGAAUUUUGGACAAUGGACGCAAGUCUGAUUCAGCCAUGCCGCGUGCGGGAAGAAGGCCUUCGGGUUGUAAACCGCUUUUGUCAGGGAAGAAACGAGUUUCCCUAAUACAGAGACUUAAUGACGGUACCUGAAGAAUAAGCACCGGCUAACUACGUGCCAGCCGCCGCGGUAACAC
rnacentral:rRNA from 1 species